rnacentral:rRNA from 1 species
UGGGGAAUAUUGGACAAUGGAGGGAACUCUGAUCCAGCAAUUCUGUGUGUGUGAAGAAGGUUUUAGGACUGUAAAACACUUUUAGUAGGGAAGAAAAAAAUGACGGUACCUACAGAAGAAGCAACGGCUAACUACGUGCCAGCAGCCGCGGUAAUACGUAGGUGGCAAGCGUUGUCCGGAAUUAUUGGGCGUAAAGCGCGCGCAGGUGGUUUAGAAAGUCUGAUGUGAAAGCCCACGGCUCAACCGUGGAGGGUCAUUGGAAACUAAUAAACUUGAGUGCAGGAGAGAAAAGUGGAAUUCCUAGUGUAGCGGUGAAAUGCGUAGAGAUUAGGAGGAACACCGGUGGCGAAAGCGGCUUUUUGGCCUGCAACUGACACUGAGGCGCGAAAGCGUGGGGAGCAAACAGG